rnacentral:rRNA from 1 species
AUUGAACGCUGGCGGCAGGCCUAACACAUGCAAGUCGAGCGAGCGGCGGACGGGUGAGUAAUGUCUGGGAAACUGCCUGCUGGAGGGGGAUAACUACUGGAAACGGUAGCUAAUACCGCAUACCAUCAGAUGUGCCCAGAUGGGAUUGGCUAGUAGGUGGGGAAACGGCUCACCUAGGCGACGAUCCCUAGCUGGUCUGAGAGGAUGACCAGCAAAACUGGAACGGAAACACGGUCCAAACUCCUAGGGGAGGAAGCAGUGGGGAAUAUGGCACAAUGGGCGAAAGCCUGAUGCAGCCAUGCCGCGUGUGUGAAGAAGGCCUUCGGGUUGUAAAGCACUUUCAGCGGGUAGGCGUUACCCGCAGAAGAAGCACCGGCUAACUCCGUGCCAGCAGCCGCGGUAAAC